UGGACCACUGACGAGAAUAUAUUAGGAACCAAGGAUUAUGAUUAAUCCAAUUCUGUACAUCGGAAGUCCUGU
rnacentral:snoRNA from 1 species